rnacentral:rRNA from 1 species
UACGUAGGGUGCAAGCGUUAAUCGGAAUUACUGGGCGUAAAGCGUGCGCAGGCGGUGAUGUAAGUCAGGGGUGAAAUCCCCGGGCUUAACCUGGGAACUGCAUUUGUGACUGCAUCGCUGGAGUGCGGCAGAGGGGGGUAGAAUUCCACGUGUAGCAGUGAAAUGCGUAGAGAUGUGGAGGAACACCGAUGGCGAAGGCAGCCCCCUGGGUCAAGAUUGACGCUCAUGCACGAAAGCGUGGGGAGCAAACAGG